UUAAAUGACUACAAGCAGAAACAAGUCAAGAAACAACUGAAUGUAAACCAAUCAUAAGGAUCCUCCACUGAGACUAAAAUUUCACAAUUUCCUUAAGUCAUGCUGACCUUCUUGGUGCUAAUACUAGUGAGAUCACUGUUCUCAUCCUCAGUGUACCUGAUUUCAACGUUGAUUUUUAUACUGACUUCACUGUUUGAUUCAUUUGUGACUUCUAUAAUUUUUACUUCAACCUUCGGGAUUUUAAUGGUUUUCACUUUCAUGUAUUUGUUCACAAAGAUCUUUAGUGCCUUCGAUUAUUUGAUAUUUACAGCUGCUUGAUAUUUCAACGUCAGUCAUGACAGUAUAAUAUACAACUACAUUUGCAAGUCAUUUGUAUUUAAACUGUUUUUUGAUAUUUUAAAGAUGGUGAAUAUAAAGAGAAUUGAUCGCAGAUAUUUUUUCAUCUUUCUAAAUAAGUUAAUUCUUAAGUGUGAUAUUUGUACAGACAUUAGUCUGUAUCAUAUAGGAAGAAAUAUAAUUGGGCAUUUUGUGAUGUUAAAGAUGUCCGCAUGUUAAACAUGCUUAAUGAGUUAUAUGUUUAUUAUCUAAUAUGUUAAAGAUGUCAAAAGCUAAAUAUGUAAAAUGUGCAAGAGGUCACAUGUUCAAGAUGUGUGUUGAAGAAGCCGUAUGUUGAAGAUUAUGUUGAACAUACACGUUGAAUAUUGUAUGUUGUUGUCGUAUGUUGAAAAUUUUUUGCUGAAGAUGUCUUAUGCUGAAGAUGUAGUAUGUAGAAUAUGUUGCAUUUUUUUGAAAUAAAACCAAUCGACUUUUC
rnacentral:sRNA from 1 species